GACCCCCACGAUCCUACUACAUCCCGCCCCAGGGAACGGCAAAGGUGGGUCCUCUGGGCCUCUCUAGGGCCGACCCAGGCCUCCCAGAAGCAGCCACUCAGAGGCCAGGAGGCUCAGAGAAAAGGAGCGGCGGGCACAGCAGCUCAGUCCCUGGCUGGACUGAAGGAGUAAAGCAAGGGGGCUCUUCCCUGGCCCGGUGCGAGAGAAGAAGCGGAGGAGGGCGCCCCUGCGACAGGGCUGCAGAUGGAAGGGCCCCGUAGGAAGAGGCCCAGGGAAACAGCAGUGAUGGCCCGGAGCGAGCAGUCAUGUUUUCUGGACCUUCAAUCAUUUUUGUUGCUCUUCUCUGGACCUUCUCCAAUUUGUCCACAUCUUUCCUGAAAUGUGGCGCCCAGAACUGGACACAAUACUCCGCUUGAGGCCUAAUCAGCGCGGAGCAGAGUGGAAGAAUUCCUUCUCGUGUCUUACUUAAAACACUCCUGCUAGCGUAUCCCAGGAUUAUGUUUGUUUUUCUGCAACAGCGUUACACUGUUGACUCAUGUUAGGUUGUGGUCCACUAUGACCCCCAGAUCCCUUUCCGCAGUACUCCUUCCUAGGCAGUCAUUUCCCAUUUUGUAUGUGUGCAACUGAUUGAUUGUUCCUUCCUAAGUGGAGUACUUUGCAUUUGUCCUUAUGGAAUUUCAUCCUAUUUACUUCAGAUCAUUUCUCCAGUUUGUCCAGAUCAUUUUGAAUUUUAAUGCUAUCCUCCAAAGCACUUGCAACCCCUCCCAGCUUGGUAUUCUCCGCAAACUUUGUAAGUGUACUCUCUAUGACAUUAUCAAAAUCAUUAAUGAAAAUAUUGAACAGAACCAGAUCCAGAACUGAUCCCUGCAGGACCCACUCAUUAUGCCCUUCCAGCAUGACUGUGAACCACUGAUAACUACGAUCUGGGAACGGUUUUCCAAGCAGUUUUGCACUCACCUUAUUGUAGCUCCAUCCAGGUUCCAUUUCCCAAGUUUGUUUAUGAGAAGGUCACACGGGACAGUAUCAAAAGCUUUACUAAAGUCAAGAUACACCACAUCUACCACUUCCCCCCUAUCCACAAGGCUUGUUACCCUGUCAAAGAAAACUAUCAGGUUGGUUUGACAUGAUUUAUUCUUGACAAAUCCAUGCUGACUGUUACUUAUCACCUUAUUUUCUUCGAGAUGUUUUCAAACUGAUUGCUUAAUUAUUUGCUCCAUUAUCUUUCUGGGUACACAAGUUAAGCUGACUGGUCUGUAAUUCCCUGGGUUGUCCUUAUUUCCCUUUUUAUAGAUUGGUACUAUAAUUGCCCUUUUCCAGUCUUCCAUGACUUUUCAAAGAUAAUUGCUAAUGGCUUAGAUAUCUCCUCGGUCAGCUCCUUGAGUAUUCUAGGAUGCAUUUCAUCAGGCCCUGGUGACUUGAAGACAACUAAUUUGUCUAAGUAAUUUUUAACUUGUUCUUUUCCUAUUUUUGCCUCUGAUCGUCUCUCAUUUUCACUGGCAUUCACUAUGUUAGACGUCCAAUCAACACCAAUCUUCUUGGCGAAAACCGAAACAAAGAAAUCAUUAAGCACUUCUGCCAUUUCCACGUUUUCUGUUAUUGUUUUUCCCCCCUCAUUGAGUAGUGGGCCUACCCUGUCCUUGGUCUUCCUCUUGUGUCCAAUGUAUUUGUAGAACGUUUUCUUGUUUCCUUUUAUGUCCCUAGCUAGUUUGAUCUAUGCCUUGGCUUUUCUAAUUUUGUCCCUACAUACUUGUGUUAUUUGUUUAUAUUCAUUCUUGUAAUUUGACCAAGUUUCCACUUUUGGUAGGGCUCUUUUUUGAGUUUUAGAUCAUUGAAGAUCUCCUGGUAAAGCCAGGGUGGCCUCUUGCCAUACUUCCUAUCUUUCCUAUGCAGUGGGAUAGUUUGCUCUUGUGCCCUUAAUAAUGUCUCUUUGAAAAACUGCCAACUGUCGUCAAUUGUUUUUCCCCUUAGACUUGCUGCCCAUGGGAUUUUACCUACAUGGAAUGUAAUGGAAAGCAUGGGUAAGAAAAUGCUUUGUUGACCCUCCCUGCUUGCAUAGCCUGCCACCUACUCUGGUUCAAGGUGCAAAAUUCAGAUGUGGAGCUAUGAGCAGAUCACAGGAUUGGGAAAGGGGAAACCAGGGGCCCAAAGUCCCAUCAUUUACACUAGUAUUAAUCUCAAGUAACUGUACUGAAGCCAAUCGGGUCACACUAGUGUAAAAAUCAGUAUAAGUUAGAAAAGAAUCAGAUCCUGGGCUUCUAUUCCUGGAUCUAACACAGACAUCCUGUGUGACCUUGCAUUGAACACAGUCCUCACCUUUGUUUUAAUAAUGGGCUUCCGAGAGCUCCCAGAAGUCCCCUCCAGCACAUUUCUAUAAUUUUGAGCCAGUCUCUGAGUCUAUAUUUCCUCAGCUGUACAAUGGGAAUAACAACAAAUAGGUAAGUGCUAUCUCAAAGAGAUAUUGUAAGGCUAAAUACACAUCUGUAAACUGUAGAGAAUCUCAGAUGGAAGGUGCAAAAUAUUACCUGGAUAUCAAACUCCCCAUAAUUCAGGUGGGGAGUGGUGCUUAGACUUGCUUCCCAUGGGAUCUUACCUACCAACUCCCUGAGUUUGCUAAAGUCUGCCUUCUUGAAAUCCAUUGUCUUUAUUUUGCUGUUCCCCCUCCUAUCCUUCCUUGGUAUCAUGAACUCUAUCAUUUCAUGAUCACUUCCACUAAAGCUGCCUUCCACUUUCAAAUUUUCAACCAGUUGCUCCCUGUUUGUCAAAAUCAAAUCUAGAACAGCCUCUCCCCUAGUAGCUUUCUCCAACUUCUGAAAUAAAAAAUGGUCUCCAAUACAUUCCAGUAACUUGUUGGAUAAUCUGUGCCCUGCUGUGUUAUUUUCCCAACAGAUGUCUGAGUAGCUGAAGUCCCCCAUCACCACCAAAAACAUAAGGUUGUUUUUAUUUGCUGACUUGUCCUACUUUGCUAAAAACGGCUAGCUGAUUUAGCUAAUUCUGACAGAUAGCAGUUUCUUACACCAUAGGAUGUAUGAAACUACUAUUUGUAGGAAUUUUGUUACCAUUAGCAAUUACUGAUACAUAAGGUUGUUCUUAUUUGCUGACUUGUCCUAAUUUGCUAAAACUUUACAGUGGUGUGGGAUGGAAGCAUAAAAUGUUCGGCUUCCAAACGACCCAGCCUGGAUUCAUUGUAGUGGGAUGCCGGAUGUGUGGAGGAUAAUUUAAACUCUUAAAUUCCUUAGGGUUCGCUGUUAGGAUAUAGGUAUUCAGGUCUGUCUGUAAAGGCCUAUACUCCAAGAAUUUAGGUGUAUUCUUAUCACUUGGCUAGUUAGAGAGAGAUAAAAGUAAGAAUCAAAAUCACUGUCUGCUGGUGUAAGGGCCUUCUCUUACUGUGAUAGUCUGAGGCCCUGUUCUUAGGCUAAGGCCUUUGGCUAAGCAACAGGCAGCCAUAAACUGGGAAGCGAACGGUCACAUGUUCACAUUCCCAACUAGUCACAUUGAAAUAAGGUGGUAUUGGGCUGUUAGGAAUACAGUCCUGUCCUGAUAGUGCCUAUCACCUCCAGAGAAAAGGAAGUGCCUAGAAAAUGUAAAAGGAAACUUAGUUUGAUAGCAUCCUGUCUGGCAAGAACUCACUUAUCAAUAGCUGGGAUGUGAAAUCCUCACUUCUGUAUUGUUUUGUCAUUAUAGUUCCCACUUUGCUAUUGUUUGUCUGUAUAAUCUCUGUCUGGUUCUGUGAUUGUUCCUGUCAGCUGUAUAAUUAAUUUUGCUGGGUGUAAACUAACUAAGGUGGUGGGAUAUAAUUGGUUACAUAAUCGUGUUACAAUAUGUUAGGAUUGGUUAGUUAAAUUUCAGGAAAAUGAUUGGUGAAGGUAUAGCUAAGCAGAACUCAAGUUUUACUGUAGAGUCUGCAGUCAAUCAGGAAGUGGGGGGUGGGUGUUUGGGUGGGGGAGAUGGGAACAGGGAAUGUGGGUAAGGAAAUUGGAAUCAUGUUUGGCUAAGGGCAGGAAUGGGAACAAGGACACAGGUGUAAGGCUCUGUGGUGUCAGAGCUGGGAAGGAGGACACUAAGGAAGGAAACUGGAAUCAUGCUUGCUGGAAGUUCACCCCAAUAAACGUCGAAUUGUUUGCACCUUUGGA